AUCUUCUUUCUUCUAUGCUUCUUGGUUAUUUUGGAAUCUUUCUGCCACAAUUUUGCAAUGCAAGGUUGAAAUCUGCUUGUUGAAAAAUGGAAAACCAUCAUGGACGAAGAAGUUUCUUUGCUCCAAAGUCAGGUUGUUGUGUCUUAAGACUGGCUCGAGGAGACAAAAUAUGCUGGAUUGGUUUGUGCUUAGGCCCGUCAAGAAUUAAUUCAAGAUAUGUUUAAGGUCUGGCAAGAUUCUCAGCAAGGAACUCUUACUGGUGGCAUGAUAAAGUAUGAAAAUGCAAUCCUACAUGACAUGAACCACCAUCACAAGUUUCUAGUCUUUUGGCUAUUGUUCAUUAGUUGCAAAUGGAGUUUAUUUGUUUAUUUGUAUUGGGAUAAAUUUUAUUUGAAUAUGAGACAUGUUUUUUCUUUUGUGAU